GACGAACGCUGGCGGCGUGCUUAACACAUGCAAGUCGAGCGGUAAGGCCCUUUCGGGGGUACACGAGCGGCGAACGGGUGAGUAACACGUGGGUGACCUGCCCUUAGCUCUGGGAUAAGCCUGGGAAACUGGGUCUAAUACCGGAUAUGACUCCAUGACGCAUGUUGUGGGGUGGAAAGCCUUGUGCGGCUAGGGAUGGGCCCGCGGCCUAUCAGCUUGUUGGUGGGGUGAUGGCCUACCAAGGCGACGACGGGUAGCCGGCCUGAGAGGGCGACCGGCCACACUGGGACUGAGACACGGCCCAGACUCCUACGGGAGGCAGCAGUGGGGAAUCCUGCGCAAUGGGCGAAAGCCUGACGCAGCGACGCCGCGUGAGGGAUGACGGCCU
rnacentral:rRNA from 1 species